rnacentral:rRNA from 1 species
CCUACGGGAGGCAGCAGUCGGGGAUAUUGCACAAUGGGGGGAACCCUGAUGCAGCGACGCCGCGUGGGUGAAGGAGCGUUUCGGCGCGUAAAGCCCUAUCGGCAGGGAAGAAGGAGGACGGUACCUGACGAAGAAGCCCCGGCUAACUACGUGCCAGCAGCCGCGGUAAUACGUAGGGGGCAAGCGUUAUCCGGCAUUACUGGGUGUAAAGGGGGCGCAGACGGCAGCGCAAGCCAGUUGUGAAAGCCCGGGGCCCAACCCCGGGACUGCUCUUGGAACUGCGCGGCUGGAGUGCAGGAGGGGCAGGCGGAAUUCCUGGUGUAGCGGUGAAAUGCGUAGAGAUCAGGAGGAACACCGGUGGCGAAGGCGGCCUGCUGGACUGCGACUGACGUUGAGGCCCGAAAGCGUGGGGAGCAAACAGGAUUAGAUACCCCGGUAGUC